AACGAACGCUGGCGGCAUGCCUAACACAUGCAAGUCGAACGGGAUCCUAGCUUGCUAGGUGAGAGUGGCGGACGGGUGAGUAACACGUGGGAAUCUGCCUUUUGGUUCGGGAUAACCGCGGGAAACUGCGGCUAAUACCGAAUGCCCUCGAGAGAGGAAAGAUUUAUCGCCAGAAGAGGAGCCCGCGUCCGAUUAGGUAGUUGGUGGGGUAAAGGCCUACCAAGCCGACGAUCGGUAGCUGGUCUGAGAGGAUGAUCAGCCACACUGGGACUGAGAUACGGCCCAGACUCCUACGGGAGGCAGCAGUGGGGAAUAUUGGACAAUGGGGGCAACCCUGAUCCAGCAAUGCCGCGUGAGUGAUGAAGGCC
rnacentral:rRNA from 1 species